rnacentral:lncRNA from 1 species
GGCAUGGUCAGGGUGAUGUAGAGUAAGUUUCAGUUGGCUGGGUUUCACUUUCGUUUUUCCCUUGGGCUUGCUGUACAGACUGCUGCCCUGUGGGCUGGCUAGGUUGCUCUCUGCCACCAACCACUGCCAAACGCUGUGGACUAACUGAACGCCUGUGUUACCUGCUGGUCAAAGAUAGUUACUGCAUCUGGAGUAGAAAUCAGGUCCAGGGACCUGUUACUCCUCUGGCGUCCUACAUGUCAACUGCUCACCGUGUCACAGAAAAGAGAAGAGAAGAGAAGAGAAGAGAAGAGAAGAGAAGAGAAGAGAAGAGCGACAAGGCUUCACUGUGUAGCUUUGACUAUACUGGAAUUCACGUGAUGAUCUUGGACUCACAAAGAUCCAACUGCCUCUGCCUCCUGAGUGCUGGGAUUAAAAGUAUGCGCCCCUACAGCAGGCUAAGUGAUUGUCACAUAACUACUUUCUGUGAUUUAAAAAAAAUAUUUUUGUAAUUAUUUUAUUUUAUGGGUAUGGGUGUUUUGCAUGAAUGUGUAUAUGUGCACCAUAUGUGGGUGCUAGGGACAGAAUCCAGGUCCUCUGCAAGGUCAGUACAUGCUCUUUAACCACUAAGCAUGUUUAGCUCCAUGAUUAUUUUUUUCUUGUAUUCGUUGCUCUCCAAGGAGUGGAUCCCACAGCUCUCUGUAUGCUUGCUGAGAGCCACAUCGCCAGUCUGCUCCUCCUCCCCUUUUUUCAUUUAUGAGACCAAGUAUCAUGUAGCCUAGCGUGGCUUUGAACUUGGGAUCCUUCUGCCUCUACCUCCUAAGUGUCAGGACUAGCAUUACAGUCAGUUUUAUACAAUGCUGGGAUGGAACCCAGGGCUUCACCCCGUUUGCUAGGCAAGUAUUCUACUGACUGAAUUACAUCUCCUAGCUCCCUGUUUUUUGUUUUUGCAGACAGGAUCUCACUCUAUAGCCUUGAGUGGUCCUUGUUUGGUCCAAAACAGCCCCCCCCCCCAAAGUGGCAGUGCUGAUGACAAUGUCUUAAACUGAAGAACUCUGACUGGGCAAUCAGAAGC